rnacentral:lncRNA from 1 species
GGCACACACAUGAAAAUGACUUAGGGACACAAACAGGUGCAGAUUAAUGAAGUACCCCAGGAAUUGGUAAGUGCUGAAAACACACAGAGUCGGGACAGCCCAUCGGCUCUGUGGAAUAAUGGGUGAAGGGUUGGCAGAGAAGGGGGGUUUUGCAGAAGGAAUAGAAAGAAGAGGAACAAUAUAGUAUUGCUGGCAAAGAGAAGGAAAGUUACCCUGGUGUGUAGAAGCAAAUGGGCAAGGUGCAGCACUGUCUGUCUCCUCAACUACCUGAGGGACAAGGCUGGCUCUGUCCUGGAGAAGUUUAGGCCCAAGUCAAGAUAUUCUCCACCCCCAGCUCAAACACUGAGGAAAUCAAUCUUAUGUUUAAUGGUAAGAACAUGCAUUUUAGAGUCAGACAUACUGGGUUACUUCUUCUUUUACUUAUCAGGUGUGUGAUCCUGGGACCAUCAGUUCACCUCACUAAGCCUCAGUUUGCCCUUCAUCACAGGUCAGGGUUUAAAACAUGGGUUUUGUGGUAGAUUAAAUUCUACCAUUCCUAAGUUCUGCAUCCGUGGCUUUGGGAAAGUCUCCUAACCUCUCUGAUCUUCUUCAUCUUAAUAGGAUGGCCAUAAGAGUGACUGAAAUAGUGUAUGUAAGGGUCUUCUAUAUCAUUAAAAAAAUCAAUGCAUUUUAUUUUUGUAAAGAUUUAUUUAAAUUCCCGUUUGUUUCAGAUGUACAAUAUAGUAACUGAACACUUCCAUACAACACCCAGUGCUCAUCACAAGUGCUGUCCCUCAUCCCAUCACCUAUUUAACCCAUCCCUCCACCAGUCUUCCCUCUGGUAACCCUCAGUUUAUUCUCUAUAGUUAAGAGUCUGUUUCUUGAUUUGUCUCUCACUUUUUCCCCCUUUGUUCAUUUGUUGUGUUUCUUAAAUUCUACAUAUGAGUUAAAUUUUAUGGCAGUUGUCUUUCCCUGACUGACUUAUUUCACUUAGCAUAAUACUCUCUAGCUCUAUCCAUGUCAUUGCAAAUGGCAAGAUUUCAUUAUUUUUUAUGGCUGAGUAAUAUUCCAUUGUGUUUGUGUGUGUGUGUGUGUGUGUGUGUGUGUGUGUGUGUGUGUGUGCUUGUGUUUAAAAUCUUAUACCGUAAUCUUCUUUAUCCAUUCAUCAGUCAAUGGAAACUUAGGCUGUUUCCAUAAUUUGGUUAUUAUAAAUUUUUUUUAAUGUUCUUAUUUAUUUUUGAAGGAGAGAGAGAGACAGAGCACAAGCAGAGAGAGAGGGAGACACAGAAUCCAAAGCAUGCUUCAGGCUCUGAGCUGUCAGCACAGAGCCCGACGUGGGGCUUGAACCCACGAACCAUGAGAUCAUGACCUUAGCCGAAGUCGGACGCUCAACCGACUGAGCCACCCAGUGCCCCUGGGUAUUAUAGAUACGCUGCUAUAAACAUUGGGGUGCACGUAUCCCUUACAUUACUAUUUUUGUUUUCUUUGGGUAAAUGCCUAGUGGUGUAAUUGCUGGGCUGUAGGGUAGUUCUAUUUUAAAGUUUUUAUGAGCCUCCAUAAUGUUUUCCAGAGUGGCUGCACAAGUUUGCAUUCCCACCAGCAGUGCUAGAGAGUUACCCUUUCUCCAUAUCCUCACCAAAACAAUGCAUUUUAGAGGAUAUUAUCAGCAUUAUUCCUUAUAUCCUUAGAGUCAAUAGCAUCUUCUAUGAAAUGGAAAGCUAAUCAUUAUUUACAGAGAAUGUUGUGUGAGUUUAAUGAGCCAUCAUCCAAAAUUCUGGGCAUUGAGUGGGCACCCGAUAAAUGAAGGGUUGGUACUACUCCAAGACAAUAUAUACCUGAGAUCUUCCACUGGAUGUCUGGUACUAAACAUAGUUUCUAAUACAAUGUCAGUGUAAACUACUGUCCAGACAAAAAGAGGGACUAGGGAAAUAAAAUUUUAGUGGGAAUUAUGGGUCAUGCACAGCUGAUAGAUGGUAGAUCUCUAUGGACUAAUGAAUUGUGCAAAUUAUUUCUGCCUUGUUGGAGGCCAUUUUCAUUAAAUAUGGAGAGUAUUAAUAAGGCUGUAGAUUCUAACUUUCUUCAGACGAUAUUCUUCUGUUUUAUUUACACCUUAUUUGCAACAAAUUCAUGUUCUUGCACCCAUAUUCUCUAACUCUAUCCUUUGAUUCUUAUUUUAUUAUGGAUUUUAUCACUUACUAUAUAAAACUGAAAUAUUUGUAGACAGAGUCACCUUGCUUUUAAGAAAGUGCUUUCUAUUAGAGUCUAAGGCAUGGUGUGUUUCCUGGCAGUUAUAAUUAUUGACUUUUUAAAAUGUUUAUUUAUUUUUGAGAGGGAGAGAGAGACAGAGUGUGAGCAGGGGAGGGGCAGAGAGAAAGGGAGACACAGAAUCCAAAGCAGGCUCCAGGCUCCAGGCUCUGAGCUGCCAGCACAAGCCAGACAUGGGGCUCAAACUUACCAACCAUGGGAUCAUGCCCUGAGCCAAAGUCGGAUGCUCAACUGACUGAACCACCCAGGUGCUCCUGGAAAACUUUAAUUAGAUCCUGGAAGGGAGGAAUAAUUCCUUGGGUUAAGUUACACAGAAAAAAAGAGACAAAAAUGAAAAAAAAAAAAGUUCUCUAAAGAAUGAAGAAGGGAAGGAAAAGAAGCUUAGUCAUGGCAAUUUAAUCAGCUUAGCUAAACUUUAUCAACUUGCAAUCUCGGAAGUGGCUAGCAACUUCAUUUGCAAAUGUUUAUUAAGUACCUCCUAAAUGCAGGCAAGUGAAGUGCUACACUAGGUAGGGUGGGAAUUAGAAGGAUAGGACAUAGCCUCUGCUCUCAAGGAACUUCUAUCUUAGUUGUAGAGGGAAGUAGAAAUUAAUAAAACUUGAGUAAGCCUCUUGACCACUUUGAUUUUAGUCUGUAGAAGACAGGCCAUGAUGUUGAAGGAGUUUGGAAACUGGUCAUCUGAGAAAUGAUGAAAAGAUGUCAGAGUCAUUGCUUUGGAGAGAUUAAGUGGGAAGGUAGUUUCAGAAACUAAAUGGCUACUAUUAGGAAAAGUUUCAGAUUCAUUUCAUGUGGCUCCAAGAGGCAGAAUUAAGACUGAUUAAUUUACUAUUUCAACCAUUUAUUUAGUCAUUAAAUAAAUACUUACAAAAUAUCAACUAAAUGUCAGAUAGUGUUGUGUCACAGAGGAAAAAAAAGCAAAAAAAAAAAAAAAAUCUAUGCCCUAACGAUGGGAAUUCCCCAAAGGAUACAAAGGCUGUUUGCUUCAGGAGUUGGACUUCUUCAGAAUCCGAGCUUUUCAGCAAUGAGCUUCUUAUGGAGGUAGGAUCAAAAAUUUCUCAGAGCUUUCAAAUUGUUUAUACACAAAAAGCAUUCAACAUAUUGAUUGAUUGAUUGAUUGAUUUAGCAAAUAUUACUAUUUACUAUAACCCACAAACCAUACCAAGUGAUGGGAAUACAGAGAUAAAUAAAACACAAGUGUUAUCUUCACAGACCUUACAUCCUAGAUGGAAGGAGAGACACAACAAACAUUCAUACAAAUAAACAUGAUAGUUUCAGGGAUGAUUCAUGUAAAAGUUACAAAGCAUCCUUUAUAAUUGUGAUAAGGAGAAUCUGAAUGGGAUGCUUUAAAUUGGAUGAUCAGCUUGCAGACGAGUUCCCCAUGCCAGUGAUUGCCCUCAGCUGAAGAGGGCAGUCACCCAAGACCAUGUUCCCUUCCAGGGAGGGAGGUUUAUGGGGAGAGUUCACAUGCAAUGACUCACCAAGUAAGUAUAUAAAGACCUAGAUACCUCAUUCUAAUAAGGUACAACUAUGCAGAGCCUUCUUCUAAAACUCACCACAGUGUUGCCUGAGACUUUCAUUGAGAUGGCAUCACAUUUCUACCUCUCCUUCUGACCAACUCUGUUUUCUUCACUUCCCUUCAGAGUUUCAUCCUGAGAACACUCCCCAGUAAAUUUCCUCCAUGCAAAUUUCUGUUGUAGAGUUGGCUUCCCACAGUCUGCUUUUACAUGGCCUAUGACAGAUGUAAUUGAUAAGGAGUUAACUGUGCAAAAAAUACAUUGGUCUACUCAACCAUUUAAAUCAAUGAAAUUGAUGACAAUAUGGUACUAUUAUUAAUACAAGUCCAAGAAGAUAAGAUCUUUUUUUUCUGAUUUCCAAACAAAUAUGAUCCUAGCCAGCUGUCCCCUCAUAGAUGUUCUCUGUGACCAAGACUGCCUUAGCAUUCCCUCAGCGUAACUCAACUUCAGACAAGUUUCCCUUUGACAAGAGGCCCCUGACUUCCAUUUUCUUCAAGCAUUUGCUUUAGAACACUUGGAAUUAUAAAUGUUUUCUCUGCCCUUGAAAAUGUAAAGCCUUCCUUGCCAGUUUUAUAACCCAAGAAUGUCUUUGUCAAGGACAGGAACUCUCCCUUUGAAAUAUGAUCAUCAGGGAAGAUAGGCAUAUUACCUUGCAGUCUCUGUGAGUGGGCAGGAGCCUAACUUUAAUUCAGCACCAAUUAGCAGAAAGUGAUGGUGUAACCACAUUGACCAAACUCUAUCCCAAUGCCCUCCAGUAGUUUUCCAUGAGCUCACCAGCUGCUUAAAAAACAAACAAACAAACAAACAAAACACACACACACACACACACACACACACACACACGACUUCCUUGUCUGUUGAACUGCUUCUGGUGAAUUUAUUUCUUUGACACCUCCUUUCUCUGACAAUCAUUUUAGCAAGCAGGGAGGCUGGCAAGGGAAAAGUAGCUAGAAUUAGCAAAGCUUGAUUCUUCCAGCAGUAAACUCUCAGGUUUUUAUAUUAUUCAUUUGAAUUCCUCCUGGUCAGGAUCCCAGGAGACUAUAAGAAUCCCUGUAGUUAAACUUCUAUAAGGGCAGCCAUAAUAAAUCUGCUGAUAUCUCAGACACCCAACUGGAUAAUGAGGUGGAAAAGAGCUGGCCUUGGAGAGCCAAGCAUGGGAAUGAAGCUUGGGCUCUGGUGUGGCUGAACGGGCAGUUGAGAUUUCAGGCCUCAGGAUCUACAUUACCAAGCUCCAAAACUGAUACUGAGCAUCCAAAAGUAUGAUUAACUUGGCUAUUUCUAAGGGCUCUUCCUAUUCUGAUGAUUCUGUAUCAACUUCUUUAAGCAUCAACAUGGACUUCCAAGAGUUCAUUUGUUGUGGUUACACAGUGGUCUAUUGAGCUGAUACACUGAAAUUUACCUUACAACCCCCCACUAGAAUUUGAGUUACCUAUUCUUUGCUAUUUGUUGUUUGUUUGCUUGCUUGCUUGCUUCAAGGUUAUUUUUCACUAGGAUACACUAUCAGUGUUGGGAUUACCAGGUCAAAAUGCAUAUCUUUUUUAUGUUUUUGUUACCUCUUCAGAUUGCCCUUUUAAAAGAUGAAAAAAAGUUCAUUUGCUGCCAGCACUGUAUAUACCGCUACUCUACAGUCUUCUCCUAUUCCCUUUAUGUAAUUUAAAUUUGCUGUUUUCAUCAUUUGUUUGAAUGGACCUGGUAAUUAUUUUAAAAUAAUUUUAAUGUAUUUAAUUACUGUUUAGUCUAUUUGUUCCCUGCAGGUAACAUGACAACAAAGACUCUUGACAUACGUUUCAGAUAAUUGUCCUUGGGCACAGCCCUCUGGUUUCAUCUUGUCCUUGGCUAAGUGUAAAGGAUUCUUUCUGUGGUUAUUUAAUUACUGUGGUAUGAACAAUGGUAAAGGAGAGAUCUCAGAGGAACGAGUGCCAAGCAUGGAGAGGUAUCUAAAGCAGGACUUAUUUCUGAGCUGUGAGAGAGGGACCCUCUAAGUUUAGGGAGAUACACAUUGAGCCUGAUUCCUGUACUCUUUUCUCCCCCAAUCAACUAUGCGACAUUAUGUUAAAAUCAAGUAAGAACAGCUCAAAAAAUGUAAGAAGCCCUCUAGAGGUCGCUUCAGUGUGAGGCAGCCAGAUAGGAAUGGGAAAGAGUAUUGGGAUUGGUAGGUUACAGGCUAACUGUAUGUAUAUGAGAAUUAGUUUAUUUAUAUUAAACAAGCAAACAAAACUGUAUAGAGAUAAACAUUUUGCAAAAAUAUUACACAUAGUUUGAAACAAUUGAAACAAUAUGCAAGAGUAUACAUUUUUAAAUAAUGAUCAUUUUCCCGUUUUAUUUCUGGGAGGCAUCUUGUGUUAAGUUCUGUGUACUUAUAUAGAAUUUUAAACAUUAUUUCAAAUAUUAUUAUGAAAUAUAUUCAUACAAGAAACAAUAAGGAUUGAUGGAAUGAAUAUUUCUUUACCUGUUUUUACUUUACCAAAUUUAUCAAACUCCUGUAUUUCAGAUAGUUCCACAUUUGUUUUCUUUUAUGCCCAUACACAUUAUGUAGUAGGUUGAGAAAUUUUUCAUUCCAUCUUUCUUUCUAAAUAUACUCAUAGUCUGUAUACAAUUCCCCUUCUGGCAUUUUCCCAAGUCAGUACAUCUAGGAUAGUCAUUUUCAAACUGACCACACAUUAUAAUCACAUGGGAGCUUAAAAUAAAUCUUCAUAUUUAUGUUAAGAUGUUUAAAAAUGUAAUUGAGAGCUUCUCAGUCUUUGCUGGAUAUCUACAUAAUUUCAAAUUAUGUGCCCCAAAUUACUUAACUAUUACAAAGAGGACAAGGGUGACCUCACAGUAAAAAGGUCUGGAUACCACCUUAAUUAUGUUAUCAAAGAUAACAUUACCAAUAUUAGGACAAGAUAACAUCAGUGUGCUUCCUGACAUGAUGCACUGAAAGCACAUAACAUCACUUUUCUAAUGUUCCUAUCAAAAAUUCAUAAACUGGAUCUAAUCUUGAGGAUAGCCAAGACAAACAGGACAGUCUACAUAAUAACUGUUUUAAUACUCACGGCCAGCAUUUGUGUUUGAAGUAAAAUGAAAUAACUAUAAACUAGUCCUCCCAUUUAGUGACUGCUCAUAAGAUGUUACUUUAUAAACACACGUAAACAAAUGUGAAAGAGGGAGACUAGGGAACCUAAUAGGCACCUUCUCACUCUUCAGACAUAAUUUCUUUUUGCUUUCAAGCAUAUAUUCUUAUAUUCUUGAUCAGAUAAUCUCAUCACCAAAUAUACACUUAGCAAUGUACUAUCAUAAUUUGUGUAUCAAUAUAUCUUCUUUUGUAUGUGAUUUUUGAAUGUUUCAUUGUAUGAUUACAUCAUAAUUAUCUAGAGUUACUCCUACAGGGUUUAUUAUAGAAUAGAAAAUCCUCCAGGAAAUGCUAUUCUAUUAGGGAUAUUCUAUAUUACAAUGCAUUUGCUUAAUUUUUGUUUUAGGCUAAACUGUAGGAUUGGAAUUACUGAUCAAAAACUUUUUUUUUUCUCGACUGUUUUCCAAUGGCUAUGGCAUUUCAUGUCAGUUUUAUAUUACCUAUAAGUGAGAUAAAGAAGCAUUUUAUGUAUUUAUCUAAGUCAGUAAAAAUGUGUAUUAGAGAGAUCUAAGUAAAAAGAUUUUUGGCAGAAUUCUAGAUAUGAACAUCUAGAUUGACCCAGCGAACAAUUCAGAGUCCCCAUCAAGUGUAUAUACAUUGAAUAGUGUCCUUUUCUGUCAGUGAUGUUCUUCCAAAGAGACUUAUAUUUUCUAAAAGAGUCACCAUUACACUGAACAGCCAUAAUUUCUAGAAUGGAAUUUUAGUACUAUUUUAUAAAAUCAUAACUACAGCAAUGAAUUAUUAUGAAAUGCUAAUAUAAAGAUACGUGGUUCAUUUCUCUCUCUGGAUCUUCUUCCUUUCCUAUUGGGUGCAUUUCAAAAUCAUGCGGUUGUACAAUAUUGGGUGACAAACGUGACUUUUCACUUUCAGAGUACAAAGUUAGGAGUCCUGUUGACUCCUAACGAUCUUGUCUAAUUUUUCUCUGUUUAUUCUUUCUUUCCUCUUUCCUUUCAUCCCUUUCCUCAUUCCUUUCCUCCCUGCCCCUCUUCCUUCUUUCCUCCCUUCUUCCCUCCCUUCCUCCUUCCUCUCUUCUUUCUUUCCUUCCCUCCUUACGUGCAGUUGAAAACCAUCUGCUUAAUAAUUAGCUGUGGAGUUUGGACAAGUAUUUUUGGAAUAUUCUAGGUAGAAUAAGUCCACAUUUUACUAUUGAAGGAGAGCUGGAGUUACCUGAUGAUGAUGUGCGUUCAUUUAUACUCAUUCUUAUUAAGUUUGUAUUUGUUUAUUAUUUUUUUGGUUAAUGUUUAGUGAAACAUUGGGUAUCCAUACUCUUUCAUAAGACUAGAACCAAAGUCAUAGACUAUUCAAUGAAGAAAGCGUUCGUAUAAAGCAUCUUAUUUAAUGUUGGAAUUUUUAUUCAAUAUGGAGCCUAAGGAUGGAUUGUGAUUUGAGUAAAUUUAUGGUCAGGCAGUGGUAGAGCCUGGACCAGAUUCCAGUUCAUUGUGAUUCCUAGAUUAAUGCUCUUUUUCUACUCUCUGUUCCCUGACUUUUUAUUUCUUUUCAAUUACUAUUGGGUAUAUCCAAGAAUUAUGCAUCCUUUAUUGCAUUUUAUCAAGAGUCUUUCUUUUUCCUUUCAUUGUCUUAAUUUUCCUUUUCUCUUUCUUUCACUGCAAAGAACGUAAUUCUAAAGGCUACCAGUUCCUUUCCGUAACAAAACCUGCUCUCAAUUCUGUUUUCUCCAGGCUAUAUACAAGCACUGUGUGUAAUACGGUGAUAUCUGUUUGAAGCCCAGGGCAUGGAAUAUGAAACCUGGCCUCCACUCUCCACCAUUGAAUAAAAAUUCCCCUGUCCUAUUUGCAGAAUAUUCCUGGCAAAUUUGGAUCCUAGGAAUGUACAUGGUCUGUAAAGGAUUUCCUCAGUUUUUACUGCACAUCAAGUUCCUGUGCUAAGUUAUUUUUGUGUGAAUUGUAUCUCUUAACAGUUUGUACAACAAUCCCUUUAAGAGAUGGUAUUAUACCUAAUUUAUAAAUGUGGAAAACUGAAUAUCGGAGAGGAAAUGAUAAUAAUUUAUGUUUUAGAUAAUGCAUGAUGGACCUAGAAUCUGAGGAGCAGUCUGUCAGACUCAGCCAGCUGAAGCUUGAUUCCUUCUGUCUUCAGUUUCAAGUGUGUGCGUGUGUGUGCACAUGCACACAUGUAUGCCUGAGUAUGUGUGUGACUGCGUAUGUCUGAGUCCAUCCACAUAUAGGUGAUAUUUGUAUCUGAAAUGUGUGCAUGUGAAUCCAUACAUAUAUGUGAACAGGUGUAUCCGAACAAGGGAGAGACGAUAUUAUAAUUUCAAGGGAUGUGGCUUCUCGUACAAAAAGGAAGCCACAUCAAAGGAAGACUAACCUUUGAAUAGUCUAAGCAUCUCUCAAUACAAGUAGAGCAAUGCCUAUUCUCAGUCUUUUCCAGGGGAGGAAUAGGCUCUCAUUUCAUUUUUUUAUAGGAACAUCUAUCCCUAGCCGGCAGUUUAUGAGCAGCUUUCUGUCGUGGGCAGGAGCGCUGGCUCACUAUAAUUAAUUCCUUUCUCACCCCCACACUUGAGAGUGAGAAAUGAAAGGGCACUAAAGGGAAUGCAGUUACAACCCACAAAGGAGCUACAUAAAAUGUUACCUUUUGGCUCAACACACCGCUCCCUUCAGGAGUCCUAUUCCUAAGUCCCCAUCUCAGCACUGAACACCAAGUUUAUUGCUGGCUGAGACCCAAUGACAGAUUCGUUGCAGUCACUCUCCAAGAUUUGGUAGGGAUAUUCAUUAAAACUUUGCUGAAAGUAAAGAUUUUGUGCCAAAGGUUUUCCCUUAUACCAUAUGUGUUAUUUAUAAGAUAAAUAAAGGCAAAGAAAAGAGAUGAAUUAUUGGUGGAAUUUAAACCUUGGAGUCAGAGAGUGGGGUGUAGUCCCCACAUUGUCAUGUAACAGUCUAGAGUAGGGUUCAGUCACCUAGACUUUCUGGACUUCAGUUUCUCUAUUUGUAGCACAAGCAUUGCAAUACAUGUACGAUUUGCGGGAAGGUUAAGUGAGUAAAGUGUAUAUACUGCCUAACACUGUGCCUUGUACAUAGUUCUCAGUCCUCACAAUGAUAUAAAUUAAAAGCAAUUAAAACACUUCUCCCAUUUAUCUUCCCAUGUACAGUUUACAAGGCACAUUCACAUCAUGUCGUGUUAUCCUCAGAGCAAUCUGUUAAGACAGGCAUGCAUUCUUUUUUCAUUUGAACAUGUUUCAUAAGUGAUGGAUGGCUGGGUUGGCUGAUGCUCUUUCCAGUGCAGUAGAUGCCACUAGGAGAAGAGAACAGUGGCUCUUCUAGCUCUGGAUCAUGCUGGAUGACUCUGUGAGGAAAACCUUCAAAACACAAACUCUGCUCCUUUCCCGUAGUAGGACACAUGGUCUUAAGGAACAAGGGCCUUACAAGGACCAGAAUCCUCACCCUGACCUUUCAGUCUGUGGUAAGCACCUUGUGCAAAACCUCAAUCUUGUUUCAAUUAAUACAUUUCAUAAUGUUAGUUCUAUUGACUUCUGUGUUUCUUUUUUUUUUUCUUUUUUAAAUAAGGCAGUGUUUUCUGUGUGUAAUGUAUUAUUUGAGGUUCUAUCUUCCUCUGUGAAUCAGGAAAAUAAAUUAUGGAAAGAGUUGGUACAAAUCCAAGGCUUCAGUUUGAGUUUUCCUCCCAGGGGAAAUGCCCUGGGGUUAUCUCAAGUGGCCACAGAAGAGUACAUGUAGAAGGCUUACUCAUGUAAGUACAUGUAGAAGGGAGGAUUCUAUGGUAAAAUGCAGAUAUCCUUCCCUGGUUCUCCUACCAGUCUUUGGUAAUUUGGAGAAAAAAGGAAAAAGAAACAGGUUGAGGGAUCCAUUCGCUUAUAAAAGGUGAGAGAAACAGACAGAACUGGGUGGCAAGGAGAAUAUGAAAAACUUUCUUAGCUUUAUACUUUUGAGCCUUCUACCCUUGCCAAUUUGGAAAACAAAGCACGUACAUAGUGUCAUUAUUAUUGUUUUAAUCAGCAUAAUGCAUCCAUCUACCCAUAUUUUUAAAAACAAUUUUAUGUUGGGGCGCCUGGGUGGCUCAGUCUGUUGAGCGUCCGACUUCGGCUCAGGUCAUGAUCUCGCAGUCCGUGAGUUCGAGCCCCGCGAAAGGCUCUGUGCUGACCGCUCAGAGCCUGGAGCCUGUUUCAGAUUCUGUGUCUCCCUCUCUCUCUGACCCUCCCCCGUUCAUGCUCUGUCUCUCUCUGUCUCAAAAAUAAAUAAACGUUAAAAAAAUUUAAAAAAAAAACAAUUUUAUGUUUAUUUACUUAUUUAUCUCCAGGCUCCAAGCUGUCAGCACAGAGACUGAUGCGAGGCUUGAACACACAAACUGUGAGAUCAUGACCUAAGUUGAAGUCGGACACUUAAUUGACUGAGCUCCCCAGGCACCCCCAUCUACCCAUCUUUAGUGUAUUAAAACCCAAAAUUGUUAUCAAUGCACUUAGGUGAACGAUAUCAUUCUUUAGUUCUGGGAACUGACCUCUUUCAAAUCAUGGAAUGUGUCCAUGUGCUCUCAUGGAUCCAGGGUGGAAGACACUAUUGGAAGUCUGUGCCUCUGACACUCAUCCAUUUAUUUUUAUUUGUUUAUUUUUAAAUUCAUCUGCAAGCACUUACUUGCUGGGCAUUUACUUUGUGAAUGGAGGAGCUAUCCUAAACUCAUUAUUACUGGAUUCCAAGAUAGUCAGGUGAAGUCUGUGUUUCUGGAGAAAUGGAGAGAAUCAGCACAAGUAGUGUAGAUGGAUCAUCCCCAACCACUGAAAAGAAACUAGAAUGUUCCCCGGGACUAGGUGGUAUGUAUGGACACCCAACACUCACCACCUGCUGUACCAGAAAAUGGUUCUACCUUGACAUGGUCUGGCUGGAAUGUGACUUUUGAAUACAUCAUGAUCAGAUGGUGGUGAGGGAGACAGGUGCCAUUUAAAUCUUGGGUGAAAAGAAGCCCAUGCCCUCUGAACCUCAAAGGAACUGGGCAAUCUGAUCCCACAUUUUGGAGAUGAAGAAUCUGAGAUUCAGAGAGAAAAGGUAACUUCACCUCAGCUUCCCAUUGGGCAGCAGGGGCAUUAGAACUCACAGCUUCUCAUCCCAUGUUUGAUGUUUUUGGUUUGGUUUCGUUUUCCAUAAAUCAUACUGCCAUGAAGCAUUAAUACAAAUAAUCACAAAGUCUUAAUUAUAUCAUUAUAUGUUACCUAUGGGUUUUUGGGGGGGAAACAAAAAUUAGUUCCAAGAAAAAGGACCAUUUAAGUUGAGAUGUGAUGGGUAAGUAGAAGGUUGGCUAGGUGACAAAUGCCAGGGUAGCACUGAAUCACUUUGAAGGUGUUGGUUCUCUAGGCAGAAGGAUUUUAGUUUAAUUCUACAACAAAUUUGUGCGUUGCAUCCCAUCAAAACUAAAAGGCAAGAAAAAUCUUAAAACCAAUCACUGGGCUUUUUUUCACAGAUGUCUGUGAUGGGCUGCCGAUGAGGACCUGAUGUCCUUAGUCGAACAGCCUGUGAGGAACUCAAUCCUGACAACAACCAUGUGAUGAGCUUGGAAGGGGCCCUUCUCCAGGUGAAUCUUGAGAUGAUUGUAGCCCAGUCCACAGCUGGAUCACAACCUUAUGAGAGAGGGUCCUUGAGCUGGAGGGUCCCAGAUAAGCCAUACCCAGAUUAUGGUUCCAAAGAAACUUUGAGAAAAUUACUGUUGUUUUAAGUUGCUUGGUUUUGGGGUAAUCUGUGACUUAGCAGUAGAUAAUUAAUAAUUAUUCCUUGCUGGGAUCAAGACAUGUUCAGUCUCAUUUUCAUAUGUCUUCUCCUUGAAGUCUUUGUCUAGACCCUUGAAAAAGAGGGUCAUAAAAUUUCUUCUCAUAAUUUUUCUUAGUGAAGAUAGACAUCAAACAAACCAUUAACUACACAGCUAGAGAACUUUGUCUUUUUCAUAGUCAUAAAAGUCUGUAUCUGAGGUUAAUUGACAUGGAAACAUCCAGUUAUUCAGAAACUAUGCCUUAAUAGUGAUACUAUUAAGGGCCUCAUGUUAAAAAAAGGCCUGUGGGGCUUCUCAGGCCUAUGGUACACUGCACCUUAGGCUAUCAUAAGGUCAGAAGCUACUUUCUGGAAGGGAGUGGGGGCUGGGGUCAUAUUAAUCUUCUCAACAUAGUCUUUUGUAGCUAUAGACGGCCUGCUUCGAUGGCAUGCGUUGUUCCCAGUGAGUUGGUUUCCCUGGCUUCUUUUAGGCCAAGGAUCUCCAAAGAAAAGGAGAGGUAAUUUGUGAUCUCCUGUAAGCCUAUGGAAGUUUUUACGCUAAUAACUAGGGAGACCGUCCCCUGAGGGAUUUGGGAGCAAUCCCUUGCCCUCUGCCUCCCACUUCUCUAAGGGGAAAUAUUACUGCCAAGUUUAUUCUGAGAACAGCUUAAAAAACACAUACCGAACAGCAUGUCCUGGCAAAAAUAAAAGCAAGAAUGAGGAUAGGCUAUUUCUAGAUAAAAAUUUAAAAAAAAUAUAUAUGCAGAGAAGAAAAAUUAAGCUCAUGCAAAUUUGUGACUUCUCCCACAGUUGUAGGGACCUACAUACCAAGAAUUUGGUUUUCUUUCUGUUUGCUUUCAUAUUUUAAUUGUGCAAUGUUUCAAACUUAUCCAGAAGAGAAUAAUAUGACGAGAUCCUGAGUACCUUAAUUCAUCCUCAAUAAUGAUCAGCUCAAUUAUAUGUAAUCUAGAUUCUACUUGACUCCUACCCCCAAUGUACACACUGGGUGUGGACUGUGGAUUAUUCCUUAUGCAUUUCCAAGCCAGUGUACCACUUGUUUCUGUGUGUGUGUGUGUGUGUGUGUGUGUGCCUCCCCCUUUCUUCCAAUGCUAUUCCAGUGCUAUUUCUUCUCUUCUAGUACCAUGGUCUGGGAUGAAUGCAUAGGUACUGAGGUAAUGUGAUUUUGCCUAGAUUUCUGUUUGCUAAACAUUGUUUAUUGAAUCCUCUAAUAAUGCUUUGAAGACAGUACUAUUAAUAAUUCCAUUUUACAGAUGCAGAGAAUGGUCUGGUGAGAUGACAUCACUUGUUCAAGGCCACGGAGAUGGCCAGUCUAUGACAUGAAGGAAAAUCUAUCAGAAAAUUGAUCAAUGAAUUUUAACAAAUAGUUAUACUCUUUCCUAAAAGAGGUUUGUUUUCCUCUUUCCUAAAAUAGGUUGGAUUGUUUUCCAUGCAAGAGGAAGCCCUCUUUUUUAAAAAAAAUGAGCCCUCAUUUUUUAUCCAUUGCUGAAGUAGGACAGUGAGAGACUCAAAGGCCUGGCAGGGAUUAUGCUGAGAGGGCAUUGUGACCACUAGCCACAGGUCAGCUCAGGACAUCCAUCUGGGGUGCUGGGGAAUAAAAAUAGGGGAGGAGAACAGUUUAUUUCAGCUCCGAUUAGAACCAGAGCAAAGGAAUCAAUGUUUACCAAAUGAAACUUGUCUAGAAUAGCACUUAUUUCCUAAGUCCCAUAGGUAUUACAAAUUGAAACAGGAAAUGAGAAGCUAUUAAAAUAAAUGAUCCAACAGUGUUCUUUAAACAACUAUCAGCACUUUGAUAAAAAGGAAACCCGUACCACCCUCUUCUAUAUUUUCUAAGCUCAAACUCCUAGAACUUACUUGGUAGGUCAGCACUAAAUUUGGGUGAUGACUGCCAAGUCCUAGAUACUAGUACUUAAUAGAAGCAGAAGUUAAAAACAAUUUCUGUACAUGUGGGUGUUUUGCUUAUAGGUAAUUGGUUGCUAGAGGUAGAGGAAAGUUGAAAACAUGGCUAUAAGAAAAAAACAUAAGAGGCAAGUAUUACAUUUUAUUUAAUUUAAUGUGCUGGAUAGAAAUGACUGAGCCCAUUUCCUCAUGAGCUUUAAAGAAGGUGUUGUACCUCUGUUAAUAUUGUUUCUUUCCUCACAUUCCAUGGAAGUAUCUGUGAAAAGUGCAAGGGGAGAACAAUAGAUGUAAAGUGAAAAUAAUAAUAAUAGUCAUCAUAGCCAUUAUAAUGAUAAUAAUAGCCUGUUUUCCCAGUAUUAUUUCUCAUUAGUACCUAGAGUUAUGAUCAUUCUGUAGGUUUAUAGGACUGAGGGCCUUUUUAAAAGUUUUUAAAUGUUUAUUUAUUUUUGAGAGAGAGGUGGGGGAGGGGGGAGAGGGGCAGAGAGAGAGAGGGGGAGAUAGAGAAUCCAAAGCAGGCUCCAGGCUCUGAGCUGUCAGCACAGAGCCCAAUGUGGGGCUCGAACUCAGGAACUGUGAGAUCAUGACCUGAGCUGAAGUCAGACACUAAACUGACUGAGCCACCCAGGCUCCCCAGGGCUGAGGGCUUUUCAAAACUACUUUAAGGAUAGAGUAAAGGUUACUAUAGUAGGUGUUUUAAAAGUAUAUGAAUACAUCCUAUAAUAUAUACACACACGCAACUGAAUAUAUACCACAUUUUCUUUAUACAUUCACUUAUCGAUGGAUGUUUAGGUUGUUACUGUAUCUUGAGUCCCAUGAAUAAUGCUACAAUGAACAUUCAAAUGCUAAUCUCUCUUCAAUACUCUGAUUUCCAUUAUUUUGGAUAAAUUCUCAGAGGUAAGAUUGCUUUUUCAAAUGGUAGUUCUAUUUUUAGUUUUUGAGGAACCUCCAUACUGUUUUCUCUAGUGGCUGCACCAGUUUGCAUUAUUACCUGCAUGGUGCAAAGGUUUCGAUUUCUCCACAUCCUCACCAGCACUUGUCUUUUGGUCUUUUUGAUAAUAGCCCUCCUGAUAGGCAUGAGAUUAUAUCUCAUUGUGGUUUUGAUUUGCAUUUUCUGGAAAUGAGGCACUACUAAUUAGCAGGCAUAAAGGUUCACUUACACAAGACGAAUAACUUCUAGAGAUCAUCUGUACAACAGUGUACCUAUAGUCAACAAUACUGCAUUUUACACUUAAAACUCUGGAGGGUAGAUCUCGUGUUAAAUGUUCAUACCACCAGUAAAAAGAAAAGUGUAUGAAGAGAUCUAAGUCAUUUUGUAAUUACUUCUAUAGAUCAUGUGUCUUAAGUGGUUCCAUGAAAGUGUUCUUGGCCUGAACCAUGUGCAUCACAGCUUUUAUAAAUGAUGCAUCCAGUCUAUAGGAAGAGGUAAGCUCCAUUUUUCCUCUACAUUCUUUCUUCCUGUCUUGAUGUUUGCUGGCAGUAGGAAGGGCUGAUUGAAAUGACUGGUUAGUACAGUGGACAAUUCCUCAAUAUACUAAAGUUAAAAUUGUGGUAAAUUAAAUGAAUAAGAAAGUUGAAGAGUUUUUGAAGGACUCUGGCUUUAGUUUUUAAAGUUAUACAUGUAUCUUCUGCAAUUAAGUUCCCAAAUUAAAGUUCCCUUCAUACUUUCAAAUUUGUAUCUUCCUAAGGGUACUUAGCCAAAUAUUCCUUCAAAGACCUUGUGUAGUUUAUCCCCAGGGAGGCUCAUUCACAGGGAUUUACUCAAGAAGUAACUGUUAUGUUUGCAGGACGUUUGACAUCCAAGCUUUUGUUCUUGGCUGAGCUGUUAGUAACCUUGGGAGAAGUCCAGCAGAAGUGGCUAUGAGCAAGGAGGGCAGGGAUUGAUUGCUUCUGUGCAUUAAAACAUUGAGUGGGAGCAAAAAAGCACUGCUUUCUCAGAGCCUUGUAAUUAUUAAUACAUGUCAAUACACACAUGUACUUUCAUAACAGACUGAAUACAAUUCUCAUCACGAAUCCUGUGCUUCUGUAUUGUCUUUUAACAAUGUGGUAGACUUAAAAGUUAGCAUGUUGACUGCUAAGUGCAAGUUGUUUACCCAAAUGUGGUCACACUGUGGUGAAAAAAUAGAUACAACAAGAGUCGGGACGUUGGGAAGGCUAUUAACAAAAUUAAAAUCAAACACUUCUCCCAAAACUUUUACCUAACUGAUCCAGAACCUCCCAUUUGGAGACUUCAUUCCAAAUAAUUAUGGAUCAUUCUCUUAUUCUCUAUUAUUUUGUGAAAUCUAUUUAGAUCUAGAUGAGCUAAAUUAGUAGAAUUCCUCCCACAUACAAACAGGUUGAUUUGAGAAAAUAUAUCCAGGCUAUAUCUGGGUGGUAAUAGCUGGUAUUUCUGAAACAUUUAGUUUUUAAACAGUUAUCCUUCAGGGAUGCCUGGGUGGCUCACUUGGUUAAGUGACCGACUUCAGCUCAGGUCAUGAUCUUGCAGUUUGUGAGUUUGAGCCCCGUGCCGGGCUCUGUACCCACAGCUCAGAGCCUGCAGACUGCUUUGAAUUCUGUGUCUCCCUCUCUCUCUGCCCAUCCCCUGCUUGUGCUCACUCGCUCGCUCUCUCUCUCUCUCUCUCUUUCAAAAAUAAAUAAACAUUAAGAACAAUUUAACAAUUAUACUUCAUAUUUUGGGCCUCUUCUAUUUGUAAAAGAGUUCCAGUUUGCUACAGCCCAAUUUCUAUAGAUAGGUUUUUGAGAGUAUAGUUAGGUUGUGAAACAGAGAAGGCGCAUGGCAAUGCCCAGAGCAAAAUCUUGGAUGAAAUAGUACACAGGUCAUCUCUAACCCUUAAGCUGUCUUGGUGUAGUAGAAAAAAAAAAAAAAAAGGAAAGAAAGGAAGAAAGGUGCUUACCCUUUCCUCAAUACAGUUUACUUUCCUUAACAGAAUAGGGUGAUAAGAAAUUAAUUUGUUUAAAGGAAAUUAGAUAUCUUACUGCUGGUCGUGUGAAUGUUUUUCUUAAUAACUACACAAAGAUCUGAUGUUGGCGAUGUGCCAAUCAGAUGCCCUUUAGUGUGUUACCAUUCUGCACUACACAAUCUGCACAAGCAUAUGCACCGGCUCCGUGGUUUGAUGGUUAGUGCUGAAAGCUAAUGAGGAAGGCUUUCCAUUUCCAUUUCUUAGGUCCUGCCGACUGAGAGUUGGGUGAUGCUGACCAUUGUGGUGGCAGGAGUGAUGCUCUGAUACCUUUACCUGGCAGGGGUGGAAUGUUUAGAGGUUAAAGGGGCCCCUACAGAGUACCUUGAAAUACCACUAAAAUGUUAAUAUUUCAGUCUGUCAGGCUUCAUCUUAUAUUAAUUUAAUAUUAGCAAGUUGAAUCAAGCUUUGAGGAUUAAAUAAUUAUGAAAGAAAGACUUUAGCUUGAGAAAAAUUCAGCCCAAUAAUUGAGUGUCUUGAUGACAAUUGGGUCAAGUGCCCCUCUUAAAGCAGCAGAGCAUCUAUCUGAGUGAGGUUUCUACAGGAUUGGAGGUUGAUAUCUCCUCCUUCCUUUGAGAUAAGGUCAAAUAUUAGCAUUUGAGUUAACCAGGAGCUCCAUUUCCACCAAGGGAAGAAACCAGAAAGCUGAAAGCACCUCCAGAUGUCACUAAGACUAUCCAUAUAUACUCGUUUUCUUCUCCUUCUAUGCAUAUUGUAAUACUGCGCUUGAAACCAGCUAUGGCCAUUACACUUGUUUUGUCCACUGAAAUGUAAAUGAAUGUAACUCUACAGGUUUGGCCUCCCCUUGAGAUUGACUUGGAGCAAAGCUCCCAGAUAAUGGGCCGGUAGGUACUAUGAGAGAGAAAUAAACCUUUUAAGCCUCUAGAAGUUGAGAGUUCUCAAAUGUUAGUGCUCAUCAGAAUCACCCAAAGGACUUUUCAAACAGAUUGUUGGGCCCACCUCUAGAGUUUCUCAUUUAGUAGGUUGGUAAGAGAUGUGAGGAGCUCUAACAAGCUGCCAGAUGAUGCCAAUUCUGCUCAUCCAAAGUCCACGCUUUGAAAACUGUCUCAGGCUAUCUUGACCAGGCAGAGAAGAUGCCCUGAUUUAUUUAAGUUAAUAUAAAGGAUGACCAUGUAUUGGUAAUUUAUUCUAUGGUAGGCAUUGUAUUUCUUCACUGUAACCCUAAAACUAUGUUGCAUUAAUAUCACCCAUUUUAUUGAAAACUCAAGACUUCUAGAGCUUACACUAUUGCCCACAGUCUUUUACACAGUAACUGGCAGAUAUGAGAUCUCAGUCUGCCUGAUAUUAAAUAUGAAGCUUAUAUUAAUCUGUUUUUGUAUGAUUCAGACCAUUUUGGAGGUGUUUGAUCACCUAAAUAACGCUGUCUAUCAAACUAGUGGGUUUUUGGAACAUUUUCUCAUGUAGUAAGAUUAUACUGAGUUACUUCAUUUCAAUAUAAUUAUAUUUUAGGAUAAUUAGGUUUUUUUGGAUGUGAUGGAGGCCGCAAAGAUGGAUAAAGUCCAAAAUGUUUUCAAAGAAUUUUCAGUCUUUUAGAGUAAGUAUCCCCACAGCAAGGCAGAUUAUAAAUGCAUUAGGACGAGAAUAAACAGAAGACUCUGGCAGUCCACAGGAGGGAGGGAUUCCACGGAUGGGAACCUGUAACAGUGACAGGUCUUUAGAGCAAUGUGAGAAGGAAACCGUACAAUUGCAAUACUGAGCUGCAAAUCACCACUGAGAAGAUUGGUGUGAUCCAUAAUUUCUUUAAUUAAAAAAUAUCCUUGGGACACUUUAGUUCUUUAAAGGUUAAUUAAUAGAUGUAUUGAGUGCUAUGGUGAGGAUUAAUUGAGGUGGUGCUGGAGGAAUACUGAGGAAUUGAAAGCAUUAUGUGGAUUUUCUGCUAGGUCAUUUUCCUGUGAGACAGCUAAAUAUGAUGGCAGCGACAAGACCAAAUCCCAAAUAAUGUUUCUAAGUAAAUGGCUUAAAUCCUCAAUCUAGUUGUUUUUUUUUUAAUCUAAAAAUGUAAUAGCUAAUAAGUUUAGGAAGUGCACACAGAUGAAAAUGAUUUGUGGAGAUAGUGAUGUAAAAUAUUUUUGUCCCCAGAUUAGGUCCAAUAGAGUAGCUUAGUAGCUUAGUAUAAGUGGGAAGGAAUUGGAAUUUCUUUUGGAAAGAAUCGUCUAGCAUCUGUGCCUUCCAUCAAAUAACUGGCACUUUUUAAGAAGCUAACAUUUGCCAGAAACAAAUGGAGCUGUUUUUGUGAUGCUUCUUUCACACAAACAUGUCACAGUGAAGUCAAUGUGUCAGCUGCCUCAUAAAUUUGAUUGGGUUUUGAACUUCACUUUAUUGCAAUCGCUUGCUUGAGGCAUGUCCAAAAUGUUUUGAGACUGCCAAUAAAGCCACUAGCUGACCAUCUAUAGAGACAUCACUGUGAAGUGUCCUGAUUGUUUUUCCUCCAGAUGUUCUCCACAAUAUUCCUCCCGUGAAUCGCUAACAUUUCUGUAAUUCCAGGCUGACAAGUGGGGAUUGUGGGAAAGUAGGUGGAUUUCACUAAGCAGAGUCUAGCCACCAAUUCCGGCAUCCCUUCUGUGGGCAAGAGAAAUGAGGUCAACAGGGAUGUGGAUUCUGCACUGAGACCGUUUGGAUUAAAAUACACAACUUCACCUUUCACUAGGGAAGACUGAGCAUUAUUCCUGUUUGAGGAAAUUAAGAUCGUGAUGGACUUUGGAUUUAGACAGACUUUUGUCAAAAUCUAAGCUUUACUACUUACUGGCGAGGCAUCCUUGGAUAAGUCCCUUAGCUUCCCUGAGGUGAGGGCUGUGAGUGCCAGGGAAGCUUUGUGCAAGACACGGAUGGGCACGACCUGGAAUAUGGAAGUGAAGCUAAGAUAUUGAAACUCCAAGGCUGCAUUUGAUAACAUAAGUUUAAAAGGAUCUGACUGAUGUGGACAUUCUGGUGGGAUGGAAUUGGACAGGAAAUUUGACCACCUCCAGAUGAGAAGUAUAUUAAAUUCUCUGCAGAAUUUCCCCUUUUGACAUGAAUUCACUGGAUUUCUCCCAGGCACCAAGGUUUCCAUCCUUGUAUGUGCUCUCCACUUAACCCAUAUUAUCCAGUGUGAGGCUGAGGGUGACAACGUAUCAGAGAGAAAAAAAAAAGGGAAGCAAGCAAAGCAUUUCUCUUUGUGUGUAUACUUUAAUUUUUAAAAUGUUUUUAUUUAUUUUUGAGAGAGAGAGAGAGUAUGAGUGGGGGAGGGACAGAGAGAGAGGGAGACACAGAAUCCAACGCAGGUUCCAGGCUCUGAGCUGCCACCACAGAGCCCGACCCGGGGCUUGGGCUCACAAACCACAAGAUCAUGACCGGAGCCAAAGUCAGACGUUUAACUGACUGAGCCACUCAGGCACCCCUGUGUGUAUGUAUUUUAAUAUAGACACCUAGACUCAAAAGCUCUGAUAUACCUGUCUUUUUUGCAGUCAGAACUCUGCUGCUGGGUCUCAAGAUUUUGACUUUUCCUCACAGCUAGUGGGUUUGAGUUUAAUAUUUGUAGGGAAAAGUUUACCAGGCGCGGUGAAGAGUUUGGUUACUUCAGUGUAAAAGGGAGAAACUUACUGCUUGUAGAUAACUCAUCAGACUUUAAAGCCAUGCCUUUAAAAAAAAAAAAUGUUUAUUUUUGAGAGAGAGAGAGAAAUAGAGCACAAGAGGAGAGGGGCAGAAAGAGAGGGAGACACAGAAUCCGAAGCAGGCUCCAGGCUCUGAGCUGUCCGCACAGAGCCUGACACAGGGCUUGGACUCAUGCACCACGAGAUCAUGACCUGAGUGGAAGUCUGACACUUAACCAACUGAGCCACCUAGGUGCCCCUCAAGCCAUGCCUUCUAAAGAGUCUUUGGAGUAAAAAAGGGAUUUCUGUGGUGGUUGUGUUCCAUUUUUAACAUUUUUUAAAUUUUCAUGUCUGAAUCUAACUGGUUUAUGUGAUUGCCCCCGCAUGUGUGCCAGCAAAUGAUUGCGUUACUCCUCGUCCCAUCACUUGAAAUGUGGACUUAGAAUAUAUUCAGUAGAGAACACAUUUUAUUUCUACUAACAUGUCAAGUCAUGAGCAUGGGAAUCAAUAUUAUUGAACCCUAAGGCAUAGCCCAUCUUUACUUUUCAGACUCUGCCUUAGUUGGGGUUUGACAACUCUAAGACAGUAGACAGUAAGGGCUGGAGGGGGUUGAAGGUGGAAGAAAGGCAUGAAAUGAAGUAUCAGUCAUUUCCUAAGUCCAUGGCUUUUCUAUUUCUUUUCUUGAAACAGAUACGGGCUAUAAAAAGGGUCAUAUUUAAAGUGAGUUAAAUGGAAAUUUUAUUUGAAUAAUCACAGAACAUAUUGUCUGUUUCUACUUUUUUCAGAAUCUCUAAAUUUCUCACAUGGUAUUUAUUUUCCCAUAUUAUAAUUCAAGAUGUCAUAUUUUUAAAUUUCAGUUUACUCAGUAAAACCUAUUGCAGUCUGUCAGAGACUUGUUAACUAAAGAAGAAUAAGAUUGCCUACUCAUCCCAACCUGAUCCAGUGGCUUGAACUAAAAAAAAAUAAGGAAAACACAAACAAUUUUGACAAGCAGCACUGUUAACAAUGAGCUGAAGUAUCAGUGGAUAUAUUGGGAAAUCCUCCAUAGAAAAUACUCCUCCGCAGAAAGCAAGGAUUAGCCUUCCAGGCUCAUGAGAGAAGAUUUAUCAAUAUCACCCAAAUUAAUUCUAAAGAAUGGUAAUAUACGUUACAAGAAGUGUGUCUUAUUUGGGAAACAUUACGUUAAGCAUAUUUCACUUUAGGAAUUGCCAGAGGCUUUAACAUACUGCUGCACAUUAAGAGAGUCCAAUGUAUUUGACAAUAGGAACAUUUUUCUCUUGGGCCUUAUUUCAGGACUAAUCUUCAGUAGAGGACAUUUAGGAAAGCUGAUUUAGUUGCCUUAUUUUCAUAUUGAUUGUUUCAAUGUGAUAAGUAGAAUAGGGCACACACGAAACCUUUAAAGGGUGGUAUUACAAACGCACAUCACAUGACUUCAUGUUUUGCAGCUUGGUGUUUCUGUCAGAGUUGUAAAUGAAUCAAGGCAUUGAGCCAGAAUGAAUAGCCUUGCACGGUACUCUUCGAUGUUGCCCCCACCUUUACCCCAUUAGUCCUUCUACCUAGUAUUAGUGCUUCUUCCUGAAAACAAUGUUGCUUUUUUUCUGGGACGGGGAGUAGGAAUGCAGUGUUAAGUGUAAUAAGUGUGCUGCCCCUUUUAUGGCUUCCCUUGCAGCUAGGGACUCAGUUGUGGUCAAAAUACAUACAAUGAGAGCACUGAUAGUAAAGGUCAAGCAUCAUAAUAGGAGACAAUUCUCAGGUACCAGAUCUUUCCAUUUCUGCUUGCAUCAGAUAUGUUUAGACUUCUUGUGUCCAUCCUGUGAAGGUGAGAUGAGAAUAAUGAGGAUGAAGGUAGCAGAGCAGGAUGGAGGAAAAUGGUUUAUUGGUGGCUACUGCCUCAACUGUGAGUGUCUUCACAGUAGAUAUCACUAUCUUAGGAAGCUUAAAAAUUUCAAUAUAAUGCAUUUAUUUGUAUUCCCCGAUAUAAGCAACUUUGCCUUAUUUUCUUUAUCCAAACUCUUUCUUCAUAUUGUAAGUGUUCAGGAUGCCCAGGUGGCUCAGAUGGUUGAGCACCUGACUCUUGAUUUUGGCUUAAGUCAUGAUCCCAGGGCCUUGGGGGUCAAAGUCUGCACUGGGCUCUACCUUGAGCAUGGAGCCUGCUUAAGAUUCUGUCUCUCCCCUUGGGGCGCCUGGGUGGCGCAGUCGGUUAAGCGUCCGACUUCAGCCAGGUCACGAUCUCGCGGUCCGUGAGUUCGAGCCCUGCGUCGGGCUCUGGGCUGAUGGCUCAGAGCCUGGAGCCUGUUUCCGAUUCUGUGUCUCCCUCUCUCUCUGCCCCUCCCCCGUUCAUGCUCUGUCUCUCUCUGUCCCAAAAAAAUAAAUAAAUGUUGAAAAAAAAAUUAAAAAAAAAAAAAGAUUCUGUCUCUCCCCUUCCUCUGCCCAUCUCCCCUGAUCACACUCUCUCUCUCUUUCUCUCAAGUAAAAACAUAAAAAAUAAAAUAAAACAUAUUCUAAGCAUUCAAAAUCAGCAAGAACCUUUCUUUGAAUGUUUUGAACUGUGAUCAAAAAAGUUAAUAACUUUUUCUAACAUAUACAGCAUUCAAACACCUUCUGGUUUGAUUUUUCUUCGCCUGUGUGUGUGUGUGUGUGUGUGUGUGUGAGUGUGUGUGUGAAGGCUAAGCAGGUCGAAGACUGCUAAGAAAUUUGCUUAUGUUCUUCAAAGGCACAAAUGUUAGACCUGUAAUUUUGAUAAUUAAAUAUACAUAUAUUAUAAAUAUAUAAUAUAUAUAUAUAUAAUGGAAAGUGUGUACUGUGUAAAUGUAAAUAUACAAUAUACCAUACAUCUAAAUAUAAAUAUAUAUAUAUAAUGGACAGCGUAUACUGUCCAUAUGUAACUGUAAAUAUAGUUAAUAAAUUAGAAUCCUCACAUCCAGCACAUUCACUAAUCAAUGAUCAUAUGCCAUUGGCCUGCCCAUGCAAAUAGUCACAUGAAUUCUGUGACCCAAACCAGUGCUGAGUCAAUUGGUAGGAUUACUAAUAUCUUUAAAACUUUUUGUGCCUAUUGUGGGACAAAUUGUUUAAUAUGGAGAUUGUUUUUAACUUAAAGACUACUGAUUUGAAUAUUUAUAAAAUAAAGGAAAAGCACCAGCAAAACAUAAUAAUAAUAAUAAUUUAAAAGACUUUAAAAAAGCAAUUAUUAUUGGUUAAAGCUUUGAAUUUCCUGGACCAUUUCAAAUAGGAUUGUUCAACUAACUUGCUCAGUCUUUCUGUUGAUUGUAGUCUGUUUUUUUUUUUUCCUUCCUUCCUUCCUUCCUUCCUUCCUUCCUUCCUUCCUUCCUUCCAUCCUUCCUUCUUUCCUUCCUUCCAUCCUUCCUUCUUUCCUUCCUUCCUUCCUUCCUUCCAUCCUUUCUUCCUGCCUGCCUGCCUGCCUGCCUGCCUGCUUGCUUGCAUUUCAUUCUUUUUUCCCGUUUUAUUCUGGCUGCUGCUAAGUUUUGUAUCCAAGUAGCCAUGCAGCUUGGCUAGCAGGGAUUCUGGGAGCUGGUUACAUGUUCCUGGGGCUAAGAAUUUCUAUGAAAGACUCAAAAUUAGAUGUAGAGAUAUAGAUAUCCAAUUAAUUGCUUUGUAAUCCUAUCUCUGAUGGGAUCAAGAAAAGUUAUAAGUCUGCAUUGGGUAUCAUCAUUGAGAAAUGUUCUUUGCUAAUGUACUUGUUGUAGAAUGAUAUCUUGCUCUUUUAGUUUUCAAAUCACUCUAGUGAAAAUGACAGUGUUUCAUGUUUGUUGAAAUAGUUGAGAGUCCCACUGAAACUUUGGUCAGGAGGAAGCAUCAUAAGGACAUUUAAAGAAGGGAUAAACUGAGGAGCAAGGCUAUACAUUUAACAUUCCAGGUGCUAUUUAAUCACAGGCUAAACAACUAUGUGGUCAGAAUGUGUCAGAGACAGUUAACGAGUAAUAUUUGGAAUAAAAGAACUUUCAGUCUCCUUGAAUCCUUACUAUGUACUUGGGGAUAAAAGAAUACAUAGAAAUGAGUUGUAUAUCAAAGUGCUAGAUUCCAAGCCUGAUGGCUUCCUUCAUUUGUUCACUUCCCUCUACUCUUUACCUUUCCCCCUCAGGAACAAGAUGUUGAUUAUCAUUUAUCUAAUGGCAACUCAGAUUAGCACCUUCGAAAACAUGCCAAGUUUUAACCUAGAAUUUGGGGUAUCUUCAUCUCAAUUGUCUUAAGAUCCUUUUUGUUGUCUUUCUUUCUAAAGGAGAUUUCUCCUCAAUAAAUUGAAGCUCAUUUCAUUUUAAAAUGAAGCAGCUGCACGUGGUGUUAAGUACGGGGACUGUUGUGUAUGAGAUAACAGACUAUUGGUCGGAUAAAAGCUGUGUCUAAUGGGAAGUAGGAUCAAUUUAGCAAAUUGCUGUACUAAUUUCUAAUGAUAGCCUGAUUUGAAAGACCACAUAAUCCUGUGUGAAAAUCCUAAAAUUUUGGUAAUUUGGGGGAAGGUUUCGAGAAACCACAAUUAGAAAAAACUUGUUUGUCUUUUGUUUUGGCUGUUCUUACUGUGAUGCUGAGAUAUGAUGUUGUUUGAGUAUAAGGAUAAAUACACUUCCCCAUAUUCCGGAGUCUACCACUCUAUAUCAGAGGCCAAAAUAAUGGCAGGGGCUACUCCUAGGGAUUCAGUCUAAGGAAGAAGUCUGCAUAAUAUUUGUAACUAUUUCCCCCCAUGUUAUAAAUGCUAAGGCCUGGAGAAGAGGAAAGAGUUCUUCUUGGUUCCCAUUUUAGAAAAAAGAUUAAUCCUUCUAUUAAGAAUUUAUUUUGGAUCAAUGGAUAGAAAUCUCCUGGGCUAUUUUAAUGUUGUCAGAGAUCACUCAGGUCAACACAUUCUCUCUUUCCAUCUCUGAAAUGUCUCAUGAAAAAGGUUAAACAUCUGAUAUCAUCCAGAGGUCUGUAGCUGGGGAGUUGGCAGAACUGAAUUCUCAUCCUAGUUUCAUCACUGACUAGUUUGUUACUUGAAAAGUUUCUCCAGGUAUUGGAGCAGCAGGAACCUCAACUGUAAAAGAACAAAAAUAAAACCAACAGUCCCAGGGAUAGCUAUAAAAUUCUGUGGGAUGGCCACCAAGUCAAGCAAUCUCAUGCCUUCCACAAUACGGUAUUCCCAAACUUGUGGACACUCUAUACCUUGUGUUGUAUCUAAGUGUCUUAAUCAUAGUAUAUAAGAAAUGUGAAUCAUAUGCAUUUGAGGUAGUUCCCAUACAAGCUUCUCCAUCAUACUCAGUAAUGGUCAAUCAAGACUUCAGUAGAUGUCAGAAAUGUUGGCACCUGGUACUUCUGUGGUCGAUAAAGUCAAGUCAAAGAGUAUAGUGAUUAAUCAUAUGGGUUCUAAAGUCUGUUGACCUGUUUUAGAAUUCUAGAUUCUCUCCUACUAGUCAUGUGAAUUUAGGCAAGUAAUUUAGCCUGUCAAGGCUUAAUUUUUCUCACCUGUGAAAUUGUGGCAUCAUAAACCAACCUACUGAGGAAAAUGAAAAUGAAAUGGGGCUUUUAUGUAAAUCAUGGUGCUAGUACAUUUAGGUGAUCCAAUAAAGGUUAGCUAUUAUUUUUACCAACCCAAACCUUUUUAACUGAGUUAUAUUUAGAAGCUAUAAAGUACUGUGUAAAAUAUGACUGAAAUUUCCAGAUGGAUUGUGGUAUUAAGGUAUUUCCCCACUUUAUUUUCCUUCUAUAAGCAUCUGUAAGCAUCAUUAAAUUAUGCUAAUAAACACUGACUUAUAUCCUCUACUUCUACCUCUAUCCUCUUAAAUUUUUGUGUUUUUUUAGGAAUACUUUAUUUCACAUAAUAGUUCCCUUGUGAGCAAUUUAGAGACCUAAGAGAGCUUUCUCACUGAUUAUUUCACUUCCAUUCUGUUAGAGAGAGACCUCCAGAUAACCAAUUCAGACCCACUAGGUUGUUAAAACCAGACCUGUCAUUUAUUUCUUUCUCAAAUAUUUAUUGAGCAGUUACCGUGUUUCAUGUAAACGUCUAGUUGUAGUAGUGGAUAGUGAGGGUAUUAAGGAAUCCAACUUUCUCUAGUCCCAGUGAAUGGAAGUCUGAUACCCUCCUGAAUUCGUUGCUGUGAGUGUCAGAAUUAAAAUUCUCAGGACCUGAGAAAGCUCUCCAUGGAGGGUGGUUGGGGGGUGAUGAGUUUGGAAAGAGUUAGCAAUCAGUCUCUCACUCCAGAGGGUCCUAUUACUAUAAGUGGGGUCUGUAACCUGAAGAAAAGGGCCCAUUUUUUCCCUUAAUUUUUAAAUUGUUAUUUUGUGGCCCAUGGAUGUCCCUGUCUCUCAGGGUAUAAAUAGCAAAGAUUUUAUUCUUCUCAUUCCCUGUUCUUGGAUUCUCCCUCCCUCUUAACUUUAGGUCUCCACUCUGCACCACUCUGCAUUUGCUCUUUCCUGAGCCUCUCCAUUAAAAGGAUGUUGCAAAACAUGCAGUUUUUUUUAAAACAAAACAUUUUGUUUAUGAUACUAGUAAAUUCUCUUUGGAUUUGCCAAAUACCCACUGUGGGUCUGAAGGAUUUAUAUGGAAAUUAAGGCAGCACUACAUCUGCCUAAUUAGACAGAUGUACUCAUAAAAGGAGCCCCGUGUCUGCUGGAACAGGAGGAGGAUUGGGCUGGGGAGGAGGGGGCUGGAGCUCUUCCUCAGCUGUGAGGAGCUGUUAGCACACAGGCUCUAGUCUCCUGGGACACUUCCCUGCUCCACAGGCAAAGGGAGGAUAAGUUCUUUUUCACAACCAAUAAAGUACUCAAAUUAACCUCCCUCACCACUGUGACAUAAGUAAUGCCAACUUUAAGGAAAGCAGUUCACAGAUUUCCAGAAGAAUGGCAGAGACCUAGCCACUUUACUGGUAGAGAGGUUCUAUACCUGUGUUGCACAUGAGAAUUACCUGGGGACCCUUACAACUUCUUAUGACUGGGGCCACCUAAGACCAAUCACUGUCUUUCAGCAUCCUCCCAAAAUCAACUUGAGGGGGAGGAUAUAGGUCCCAAUGUAAAAGAAGAAAAUCAGAAUUUAAAAUUGUUCCCCUGUGGUGUUCACCAUGCCUGUUAGAACAAUUUAGCAACAUUGAUGGGCCAAAUCACCAUUGCCUGACCUCGUCAUUUGUAACUAAAAGUGGCAUACAAGUGCUCGGAACUGAUAGGGGUUCACAAAACACAGCACAGAGCAGGAACAGAGAGACAAACGCUAGCAUGUUUAGAAACUUCGGCCACACAGCUACAGAUACAUAUUCAGGCACACAGAUUCAUUCCUAGAACCUCAUGAGCGGGUUCCUAGACAUGUGCACACUCAGAUGCACAUAAACACAGAGAUCUCAUAGGAAAGAGAUCCACAGAUACAGAUUCACACAGACGUAAGUAUUGAGACACAAAUAAACAAACACAUGCGUGUUUGGAUGCAUACAAAAGCCCACAUGUAUCAAGUUAGCCCCAAAUGUACAGCAAGACCAUUAGAGAUACUCAAAAAGAGAAAGCAGAAUUACAGAAUUAACCUCAUGGUUAAUUAUAUCUCAAGAAAGCUAUUGAAAAAUUAAGACUAAAAAUUGCAGAGAUAUACUUAGCCAACCGGCAAACAAAGAUGUAAGAGGGCACAGACACACUCAGGAAAUAUCCUGUAAAAGUUUUGGGUCUUUUCUAUUUGUGUGCGAGUGUCUACAGGUUUUUGGAGCGGCAUUGUGAUGUUCUCUGCUGCCUCUGGGUGGAAAUACUUUUGCCAGACUCCAUUGCAAGUUCCCUGGCCCCUUGCCCAGAUAGAGCGUGUGGAAGACAGGAUUGAAAGUAUAGUCUCCAAGGAGAGAAUUAUCCAUAUUUUUCUGGAAAAGGAGAUUCUAUUGAAAAAGUUCUUCUCAUGUGAAUCUGAAAAUUUGAAGAGCAAGUAAAGCAUGUUUAAUUCAGGUUUGAAAUAAAACAUCCUGUAGCAAUGAUAAUUAAGAAGUAAUACCGGGGCACCUGUGUGGCUCAAUCGGUUAAGGGUCUGACUUUGGCUCAGGUCAUGAUCUCACCGUUUGUGAGUUCGAGCCCCAGGUCGGGCUCUGUACUGACAGCUCAGAGCCUGGAGCCUGCUUUGGAUUCUGUGUCUCCCUCUCUUUCUGCCCUCCUCCACUUACACUCUGUCUCUCUCUCUCAAAAAUAAACAUUAAAAAUAUUUUUUAAAAAAGAAGUAAUAUCUUUGUGGCCUUGUAUAGGUACAAGUUGUCGCAUACCUACUAACCAGUUAAUUAUAUCACAGAGCUGUUCCCUAUGAUCUCAGUUGAACUUCAGAGUGAUCAAAUGAAUAAGAAUUAUGUUUAUAAACAUUUUACACUCAUUGAAAUUACUGUCCAAAGAAGCUAUGUAACAUCUAGCCACGGAGUUGAAGGUUUUGAAGUCAAAUUCACAUCUGAUAGACUUGUGAGUCAGUGCUCUUGACAAUGUGUGCUAAGUCCUCUGCAGACGCUGGGCUUGGGGUUGAUCUUAUGGCUCAUCUUACUUUGCAUAUGGGAAAACUUACAUUUGCAUAUGGGAAAAUACUUUACCCCUAGCUACCAGGGACACAUACAGACUUGAAGCUAAUAUUCUGAUUCCUGUUCUAGGACUGAUUUCACCAGAUAAAUGAACCUUUAAAGUAGUCCAUGGGCUGUAUAUGAGCUGGACUAGGUGAAGAAACUAAAGCUUAGGAACCAAGAUUAAAUUAAAAGCCCACUGGCCAUAGCUAGAACAUCUUCCAAAGGAGAAUGGGUUUCCGUGGAAGACAAAGGGGGUUCUGUCUACUUCUCUGUACUCCUCUGUUGCUUUUCUGAGGAAUAUGAAACUAUUCUCCCUAGCAUUUGGGCCAGUGACCAAAAAGUUCUUGGAGGUGAUUGCAUUCUAUCCACAAGAGUGGAGGUACAACUUGGCCCUCAGGAAGAGGUCUUGUCCAUUUGUCAUUUUCUCAGGGUGUGGGUCUGGCUGGGAUGAAACAUGUUCAGUAAGUGGGAAAGCAUCCUAAUCACAUUGUAGCAUUUCCUCUAAAUUCUCUCCCCAGAAUCUGAUUAUGAUUAUGAAAUUCUUUAGUAUUUAAUUCCAUGGGUAAGUGAUUAGGGGGAAAAAAAAUUAAGACUUCUUAAAGAAGGUGAUCAUGCCAAAAAAGGUGGAGAAGCACAUUAGAUUGUAUAUUAUGAAUCCACAUAUUAUUCAUUGAAACAUUUCAAAUUGUUGUCAACUUCAAAACUUAGAUUUUAUGUAAAAAUCUCAAUUCAUUAUGUCUUUUUAAAAUGAAAAUCAGAAGAUCUGACAACUCUGGCAAUGGUUUCCAUGGCAAUAAUUGACCAAACUUGUGUACCAGUUUCACCCAUGAGUAGGUCAUAGCUCUGUUGUACAUCACAAUCUCUAUACUCCCACUAAUUAUGUUCAUUCUGACCCAUUUCACUUAUCUGAGUUACCUGUCUGGACAUUGCAGCUAUGUAUUUAAACUCCCAGUAUUCAGAUAAAAAUCAUCACAAUUUCAGAGACAGAUGUUUUAGCAGUCCAGGGAGAGAGAAGUCAGUAAAAGAUUGAGAGCUCAGAGAUGGCUUCAUAAGGAAAGCGGGAAUUAAGCUGUCUUAUAACAAAUCAAGAUUUAUUGAGGCAAUAAAGGAGGGUACUUUCAUGAAGGGUGUAUAAUAAGGGGAACAAAGUUAAGAUAGUGCAAAAUUAAAUUCUGGUGGACAAAAGACCAACUGCACAAAGUGAAACUUUUAAACAUUUUGAAUAAAAGGUGAAACAUAUUUACAAUCUUAGGUUUGCAACGAUUUUCCUUUUUAAGCAACAUAAAAAAGGACAAACCAUAAAGGAAAAAAAAUAGAUAAGUUUGAAUCCAUUCAAUAAAGAACAUCUGUUCAUCUAAAGACAUCAUAAACAAGGUAAAAAGACAAGGAACAGAUUUUGAGAAGAUAUUUGCAAUGCAUAAAACUGACAAAAGCUAAGUAUCCAGAAUUUAUAGAAAGCCUCUACAAAUCAAAAUGAGAAAAAGAUAAACAACCCAAUGGAAAAAUGGGCAAAAUAUAUGGAAAUGUCAUUCACAAAAGAUAAAAGACAAAUGGCCAAUAAGUACAUGAGAAUGUGCUCAGUCUGACAUGUUAUCAAGGAAAGGCAGAUUAAAAUAAUAGAAAGCUAUUAUUCUGUACCCCUGAUACUUACAUAAAUCUAAAGUCAAAUAAUGCCAAAGGGCUAGACACAGAUAUGACAGAUUUCAAAAUCCAUCCAGUGAGAGCUGGUACAUUCUUUCGGGGGGCAAAUGACAAUAUUAAAUAAAUUGUGUUAUAUACAUACUUUUAAAAAUAUAUAUAUUUAUUUUUGGGAGAGCGCAAGCCAGGGAGGGACAGAGAGAGGAAGACAGAGGAUCUGAAGCUGGCUCUGCGCUGACAGGCUGACAGCAAUGAGCUCAAUGUGGGGCUCAAACUCAUGAACUGUGGGAUCAUGACCUGAGCCAAAGUUGGGAUCUCAACCAACUGAGCCACCCAGGUGCCCCAGUAACUUUCGUAUGUUCGUUGAAGAAAUUUUCACUCAUGUGGAAAAGAUGAUGUAUGCCUGACUGUUCAUUAAAUUCUUGUAUGUGAUUGGGAAAAAAGUUAAAACAUCUUAAAUGAUCCUCAACAGAAAAAGUCGGAUAAGUAAAUUAUUAUAUAGUCACAAAAUUAUAAGCUAUUAGAUAGUGGAAAUAAUUGCACUAAUACACCUGUCAACUUAGCUAAAUCUCCAAAAUCUUCAAAUAAUCAAAAUAGAGAGAAAUGCACUCAACCAAAUAUAAAAGCAAGGAAAACAAGAGUGAGUAACAUGAUUUGUUUAAAAAAACAAAACAAAACGAAAAAAACCUGUCAGGAUAGAAAUGGGUUUGUUCCCUGGGGGAAAAGAACCAUUAUAGAUUCAGGUGGAAGAUGGUAGUUUCUAGUUUCAAAACUUAUGUCUGAAAAUAAGUCUUUUGCAAAGCAGCCAGUCCUGAGAGACGGAAAAAUCAGUUGAUGUUUUCUUCAGUAUAGACAUCUCAUCAAGGAAAAUAGUUGGGCUCACAUAGACCAUUCCCUAUAUUAGAUAAACUUCUCUUCUUUGUUCACUUGCUUACAAUGACCUUACUGCUCUCAUGACCCUCUCUGUCCAUUCCUAGCCUCUGCUUCUUGAAUACAUACAAACCAGCCAAAAACAGAGCUCUGAAAAUUAUACUCUCCUUCUCAGAAAUGCCAGAUCCUCAUUAUCUAAUCAGAGGGAGCAUAGACUUUAGUCAAAGUCCAGAUCCUGUAUUCUCUGAGGUUGUUUUUUUUUUCUUCUUUUAGAAUAGUUUUUGGUUUAUAGCAAAAUUGAGCAGAAAGUAUAGAGAGUUCCCAUGUCCCCCUACCCCCACAAAAGCACAGCUUACCCCACUAUUAACAUCCCAUACCAGAGUGGUAAAUUUGUUAUAAAUGAUGAACCUACAUUGAUACCUCAUUAUCACCCAAAGUCCCUAAUUUGUAUUAGGGUUAAAUCUUGGUGUUAUACAUUCUUAUGGGUUUUAAUAUAUGUAUAUCACAGGUACUCACCAUUAUAGCAUCCUACAGAGUAGUUUCUCUGUCCCCAAAUCUUCUGUGCUUCAUCCCUUUUUCUCUACAACCGCUGAGAACCACAGAUCUUUUUACUGUCCUCCAUAGCUUUGCCUUUUCCAAAAUGUCAUACAGCUGGAAUUAUAUAGUGUGUAGCCUUUUCAGAUUGGCUUCUUUUGCUUAGUAACAUGUAUUUAUGUUUCCUCCAUAUAUUUUCAGGUUGAUAGCUCAUUUCUAUUAGCAUUGAGUAGUAUUCCAUUGUAUGGAUAUACUAUACUUUAUUUACCCAUUCACCCAUUGAAGGGCAUCUUGGUGGCUUCCAAGUUUUGGUAAUUAUGAAUAAAGCUGCUAUAAACAUCCAUGUGCAGGUUUUCGUGUGGACAUAAUCUUUCGUCUCCUUUUGGUAAAUACCAAAGAGUAUGAUUGCUGAAUUAUCAUAUAUGAUAUCUGAACUAUAAGAGUAUGUUUAGUUUUGGGAGACACUUCUAAACUGUCUUCCAAAGUAGUCGGAUCAUUUUGUAUUCCCACUGUCAAUGAAUGAGAGUUCCUGCUGCUCUAUAUCCUUGUCAGCAUUUGGCGAUGUCAGUGUUCUGGAUUUUGGCCAUCCUACUAGGUUUGUAGUGGUAUCUUACAGUUUUCAUUUGAAUUUCCCUAAUGCCAUACAAUGUGGAACAUUUUUUCAUAUGCUUAUUUGCCUUCUGUAAUCUUCUUUGAUGAGAUAUCUGUUAAGACCUUUUGCCCAUUUUUAAAUCAGUUUGUUUUUUUAUUGUUGAGUUUAAAGGGUUUUUUGUAUCUUGGAUACCAGUCCUUUAUCAUAUAUGUCUUUCGCAAAUAUUUUCUCCUGUUCUCAUUCUCUGACAUUGUCUUUUAUAGAGCAUGUUUCAUUUUAAUGAAGUCCAUCUUACCAAGUAUUUUUUUUAAUAGUCACGCUUCUGAUAUGGCACAGCCUCUGAUUUUUGACUCCAGCUUUACUUUCUAUCCUUCCUCAGCUCUUCAUCUGUUGUGUUAAUAGGUCUUUACCAUGAACUUUAUUGUGAUCACAGGGAAUUGAGAAGGAGCAAGAGAAACAAUAGGGUUAUUUUUAGGUAGCGCAUACACCCAAGUAGAGGCAGGCCAUAAACACACUGACAAAUAAGAGAAUUUCAGAGACUAUCAGUGCUAUGAAAUAUGUAAAACAAAAAUAUGGUACAGUUUCACUGGGUACACUAGGCAAGGUGAUCAGUCUAUGCCACUGGGUAGAUGAAACCCAAGCUGACACCAGUAAGAUAGGAAACAGUCAUGUAAACAUCUGUGGGAGGGAAGGGUCAGACUCCUCUCCCGUGCUUGGGGCCCAAGUACCCUCUCUACCCUGAAGGCAUCUCUUCCUCUUGUCUAGCCUGGUUUUUUUCCUACCUGGAACACCUCCACUGAUACCUGCUUGUGACAGUCCUACUGCACUUCACAUGGCGCCUCCUCUGUGACAUCUUACCUGACUCACCGCAUUCAGUGCUAUUGAUCCUGCCUCUGCCAAUCCCUUAAGUAGUAAGGUCAGCCUGUUCUCUCUGCUAGUCUGGGCUAUUUUGAUUACCAGUGAUUGAACCACUGAAAUAGGCAUAAAGGGGAACAAAAGAGAAAAGAGGGCAUAUGUUGGGUUAGAAAGCAUGCCAUUAAAAAAUGAUGACAGGUUAGAGCUUCUUAACCCACCUUCUAAUUUUAGUACAUGGUUUUUUGAAGCAGAGGUUUGUUCUCUCUGGCACAAUCUAUCACUGUGUCUUACACAUAUUAGGUGCUUAUAAAACAUAGGUUGAAUAAAUCUUUGUAUGCUGUUUAUCAUUGUUAUUAUUGGCUAAUACUUAUUGGGUACUUAUGUGCCAAGCCCUGUGCUAAGAAUUGCUUAUUCAUGGUCUUACUUCCUAUACAUAGCCUGUGAGCUCGGCAAUAUGAUUAUUUAUGCUUUACCGAUCAUGUUUUCAGUAAAAAUGUUUAGCUACUACAAUAACAAGACAAGGUAUUAUUCUUCGACCAUUUCUUUGGAUGAGAACAGUUUGGUGAAGCACUUUUCUUUUAAAAACUUUCAACUCACCUGCCAUUUCCUGUUGAUAAAAAGAAACAAAUUGGUAGUGGCCAGGGCUGACAUAUUGGGUUACAUCAGUUGGACCUAAAACUAUUUCUCAGGACAUUGCAGCCCAUAGGUUAUAUGCAAGAUCAUUUUAUUAGCCCUUAUUUUUUAAUACAUUUCUUGAUCUUUUUUUCCAAGUUCCUGCUUCCAGUCUUUAAAAAAAUGUGGAGCAUACUCUUCUUCUAUUUGCCUUUAUGCUUGGCCUUGUCGUCUGUUUGCCCGGUGGAGUAUGGGAAUAGGUAACAGGCUCCAUUUCUAACUCUAGGCCUUACAAGCCCUGGUGUGUUUCCACUUACCAUCUUUCAUUCCUGGCAUCUCUCAGGAGAGUUUUCUCUGAGUUUCCUCCCUCUUCAGUCUGGGCCCCAGAAUGAACUCAUGUCCGUCAGGACUGCCCCAGCUGACCAUGCACUAUAGACUGCAGCAUGAAGUAGGGGGGUCAGUGGACUCAACAGCCUGAAUCUGAUCCACACCAUGAGAAAAAAGUGUGUAUUGUUGUAUGUCACUGUUUGGUGCCUGUUGCUUAUGUAGCAAUAAAAUUUAAAUAUCUAUCAAAUAAUUUUUAUGAGGAAUAAAAGUAGAAGUAGUUGGGGGAAGUGAUCACCACAGGAAUCUGUACUUUAUUUAACCUAAGGCACAGUAUCAUUCUCUCUCUCUUUCUUUCUCUCUCUCUCUCUCUCUCUUUCUCUCUCUCUCUCCUGUCUUUUUCCUUUCUCUAGCCCUUUCCUUCUGCCUAAAUCAGGUUUAAUAAGAUUGUUUACCUAAGUUAGCACGGGGAAGUAUUUUUGCAAUAAAGAAUAUCGCAUUAUGCUGAACUAAGCCCCAGAAGGAACAAGAAAGGUGGCAAGGCAAAAAGAGCUAAGAGAAAGCCACUGUGGAUCAAGAUGGUUUUAUGUGUUUUCUGGGAGUAGAUGACAUGCGGGUACAGAUUACUUUCAUUCAUCCCCACACUGGCUAGCUCUGUCCGCUUCUCCCAAGUUUAGAGUAUCAGCUUCACAAAGUAUUUUUGGCAAAGAAAGAGGCAUUUUGAAGCAUUUGUCUCUGUAAUACCUAGGCUAUGGCACGAUCUUACCAGAUGUUGGUCAAACAAAUGAAUGAAUGAACAAGUAAACCAAAUAAUCAAUGAAUCAAUGAAUGAUAAUCAAUAGAAAAGAUUAUCAAUGAUAACAACAAUGAUCCCAACAGCAACAUAAUUUAUUAGACACUUAAAAUGUGACCAGAUUAGAGCUCAUCCUUUCCUUCCUUUUCCCAUUAAAUCUUUAAAAUGUCCUAUUGAUAUAGUUGAGAUCCAUCUCACAAAUGAGAAGAUUGAGGGUGGAGCAAUUAGCUCAGAAUGAUACAAGUGGUAGUAACAUCCUUCUAGACAUGUCUCCCGAGACAAGGGAAACAAAAGCAAAAACAAACUCUUAGAACUACAUGAAAAUAAAGAGCUUCAGCAGAGCAAAAGAAAUAACCAACCAAACUAAGACAACCUACCGAAUGGGAGAAGAUAUUUGCAAAUGACAUAUCUGAUAAAGGGUUAGUAUCCAAAACAUAUAAAGAACUUAUACAACUCAACACACACACAAAACAAAUAAUCCAAUUAAAAAAUGUGUAAAAGACAUGAACAGACAUUUCUCCAAAGAAGACGUACAGAUGGCCAACAGACCAUGAAAAGAUGCUCAACAUCACUCAUCAUCAGGGAAAUGCAAAUAAAACCUUCAUGAGAUAUCACUUCACUCUAUCAGAAUGGCUAAAAUAAAACACAAGAAACAACAAGUAUUGACAAGGAUGUAGAGAAAAAGGAACACUUUUGCACUGUUGUUGGGAAUGCAAUCUAGUUCAGCCACUGAGGAGAACAGUACAGAAGUUCCUCAAAAAAUUAAAAAACCCUACUAUCCAGUGAUUGAACUAGUGGGUAUCUUCCCAAAGAAUAUGAAAACACUAUUUCAAAGGGUUAUAUUCUCUCUUAUGUUUAUUGCAGCAUUAUUUCCAAUAGCCAAACUAUGGAAGGAGCCCAAGUGUCCAUGGAUAGAUGAACUGAUAAAUAAAAUGCUAUUAUAUAAGUUUAUAUAUAUAUAUAUAUAUAUAUAUAUAUAAUAUUAGGUAUAAAAAAGAAUGAAAUCUUUCUACUUGAACAACAUGGAUGGAUCUAAAGAGAAUAAUGCUAAGUGAAAUAAACCAGUCAGAAAAAGAUGGAUAUCAUAUGAUUUCAUAUGUGGAAUUUAAGGGGGAAAAAAUGAACAAAGGAAAAAAAAUAGACAAACAAAAAAAUAGGCUCUUAACUAUAAAGAAUAAACAGUUACCAGGGGAGGAUAGGAGGAGGGGAUGGGUGAAAAAAGGGAAGGGGAUUAAGAAUAAACUUGUCUUGGGGCGCCUUGGGUGGCUCAGUCGGUUGAGCGUCCAACUUCGGCUCAGGUCACGGUCUCGCGGUCCGUGAGUUCGAGCCCCGCAUCAGGCUCUGGGCUGAUGGCUCGGAGCCUGGAGCCUGCUUCCGAUUCUGUGUCUUCCUCUCUCUCUGCGCCUUCCCCGUUCAUGCUCUGUCUCUCUCUGUCUCACAAAUAAAUAAACGUUAAAAAAAAUUUAAAAAAAAAGAAUAAACUUGUCUUGGGGAGCACUGAGUCAUAUAUGCAACUGUUGAAUCAUUAUAUUGUACACCUGAAACUAAUAUAACACUGUAUGUUAAGUAUACUGGAAUUAAAAUCUUAAAAACAAUGAAAUUGGUAAUAAAGGCUAAAAGUGAGAUGCAACUCCUACUUCUCAGGCUUUACAGAAACUCACUCACUGAAUUACUUUUAUUGUUGUGGCUUAUAUCUGUUCUACAGAUGAGACAACAUGGACUUAAAGACAUAUGUGAGCCUUGUGUUAGCCACCCGGAAGGACCAGCAGCGGGCAGUGUGGAGAUGAGAACUGAGAUUUGCUCUAUGGAAAUCGCAAAAUUAAGAGAAACAGAUGUGACUCCAAGGCCAAGGGUCCUACAAUUGGAAAGAACACCAAUACCACACUAUGAAAUCAGGCUUUGAGGCCCACAGAAGGCUCAGCCAUUGUGCUGCCAUGCUGACCCUCCCUUCUGAAGGUGAAGAUCUGAUUGUAUUCUACUGCUUACAUAAACUGCCUCUCUAAGGGAUUGUCACUGUCAGUACAUGCUGUGAUACCUUGUGAAGAUGAGAUUUGAUUUCUUCUCAACAAAUAGUCUUUCUUCCUCUCUUCACUGCCAGAUAUGCUGAGAAUUACACUGCUUAGACUUUCUUCCCUUAGACCAGGAUUUCUCAGCCUCAUCAACUUUAUCACCGUUAACAUGUGCACUCAAAUAAUUCUUCUUUUUAUUUGUGGAGGGGGUCUGCCUUGUGAAUUGUAGGAUAUUUAACAGGCUCCCUGGACUCUACUCAGUAGUCCCAAAAAUUCUCAUGCAUCACCCCCCAUUUAUGGAUUGUGAAAGUCAAACUGUCUAGCUUAGUUCAAUUAAGAAUUCCUGUUAAGAUUCUAGGAUGCCCAUUAAGUUGGCUCAUCAGUCAAUUACCCCUUUU